rnacentral:misc_RNA from 1 species
AACGCACAUUGCGCCCGCCAGUAUUCUGGCGGGCAUGCCUGUCCGAGCGUCAUUUCAACCCUCGAGAGACUUCCUCUCGGUGUUGGGGAUCGACAACCGUCGUCCCCUAAAUCCAGUGGCGGUCUGGCUGAGUUCCUCUGCGCAGUAACUUCUCUCGCAGGCGGAAGGCAGUCAGUGCCAGCCGUGAAACCCCCAACUUUCACAAGGUUGACCUCGGAUCAGGUAGGAAUACCCGCUGAACUUAA